CGUGCUUAACACAUGCAAGUCGAACGCUGAAGCCCGCUUCGGUGGGUGGAUGAGUGGCGAACGGGUGAGUAACACGUGGGUAAUCUGCCCUGCACUCUGGGAUAAGCCUUGGAAACGGGGUCUAAUACCGGAUAGGACGCAUGGCCGCAUGGUCUGUGUGUGGAAAGUUCCGGCGGUGUAGGUUGAGCCCGCGGCCUAUCAGCUUGUUGGUGGGGUGAUGGCCUACCAAGGCGACGACGGGUAGCCGGCCUGAGAGGGUGACCGGCCACACUGGGACUGAGACACGGCCCAGACUCCUACGGGAGGCAGCAGUGGGGAAUCUUGCGCAAUGGGCGAAAGCCUGACGCAGCAACGCCGCGUGGGGGAUGACGGCCUUCGGGUUGUAAACCUCUUUCGACAUCGACGAAGCCUUCGGGUGACGGUAGGUGUAGAAGAAGCACCGGCUAACUACGUG
rnacentral:rRNA from 1 species